UAUUCCUACGGGGCGCAGCAGUGGGGGAUAUUGCACAAUGGGGGAAACCCUGAUGCAGCGACGCCGCGUGAGUGAAGAAGCAUUUCGGUGUGUAAAGCUCUAUCAGCAGGGAAGAAGAAAUGACGGUACCUGACUAAGAAGCCCCGGCUAAAUACGUGCCAGCAGCCGCGGUAAUACGUAGGGGGCAAGCGAUAUCCGGAUUUACUGGGUGUAAAGGGAGCGGAGACGGCAAUGCAAGUCGGAUGUGAAAACCCAGGGCUCAACCGUGG
rnacentral:rRNA from 1 species